CUAUAUGAGGUUUCAAUGAGUUAUAGACAUGAUUAGGAAGGCGUCCAUAGAGAUCAAAGUGGCACAAAUCAUCAUAGGCCACAUGGAAGCUAAAAGAAACAUAAAAGCUAAUGACCACAUGAGGGAUCAUAGGUACACAAGUUUAAGAGUUCACGACCACAAAGGAAAUCAUGGCUAUGUGUGACAUCCUAAUGCCAAGUAGGGGUCUGAUAGAGUAGACAAAAUAUAAAUAUUUACAUUGCAGCAAAACUAUACAUUCCAUACAAAGUUUACAAAAGAUUAUAUACUGAGGCCCAAUAGGAUCUUUACAUUUCAAAAUAUAAAAUAAGAGAUAACUUAGUUACAAAAUACAGAGACUUCACCAAACUACACUUUCCGAAAGGAAUCUAAACAGGGUUCUCCAGUGUUUUCCUCCAAAUUUUCAUCUGAAGGGGGGAGUUGGAUUUGGAUGACUUCCAAUAGUUAAUAAGAUAGAUAGAAAUAAUACAAUAUAGAUACAUUUCAAAACCUUCAUUAAUGCGUACUUGAAAAACAAGAGUUCCCAAUUUAAUCAACAAAUCAAAUCAAAUGCCAUAGUCAAAUCCCAUAACUACUAUUCAUAUCCAACUCAAAUGUUCAUCUCAUACAAAUUAUUACAAGGACGCUUACUACCAUACUUGAUCAGUUUACACAACUCAUACACCCAGGACCAAACUCGUCUUUUGACACAGUUUUAAUUACCAGUUAUUAUCUUAAUUUAAAUUACAUAGAUUAUAAACCUAUACGCGUAACCGCUUACACUUAUUUCCAAAUAUGGCAAAUGGGAUAUCAACUAGUCAUUAAUGGGUGUGCAAAUGUUUACAAACAUACAAUCAUAGAUAACAAAUACAAAUGUAAUUCUUUCAAGUCUCUUCAAGUCACCAUUAUUCAUGCCUUUGGGCCCAAGAACAUGAAUAUCAAAUCACCUAGACUCCCUAAGGACAACUGAACUACAUGUCCCAUUAAGGAACCAAAACCAACACCCAUAACAUAAGGCUCUUGAACAAAUAAGCAAACCAAAUAUCCUUAGAAGGAAAUAGGCUGACUCAGAUUUAAACCAGACUUUUUGUAUAUUUAAAUUUUUUAUUUUUAUUUAAUUUAGUUAAAUUCUUAUACUUCAUUAUCUUUCCCUAAAUUCAUAAUUUUUAUUGUAAUUCUAGAAAAUUAAAAUCUUAAUUCUUCUCAAUAUUUCAGUUUGUUUUAUAACUUGUGAAUUUUCUUAUUUAUAUUUAAAUUCUAAUAUUACUAAGAGAAUUCAACUAUUUAUUAAGUGAUUUAGUUUUUAACUUUCUAUUUUAAUUUAAACCUUUCAUCCCUACUAAUUGACCCAUUUUUAUCUCAAAUAAUUCCCAUAAUCCCAAAUUUUACAAAACUUUUCUUUUAACUCAGGCCGUGUCCUAGGGGCAUUUCUGAAUUGUUCUGGGCGUCCAAAAACGUCCCACGCAUGCUCGCAAGCUGCAGGACAGCACAUGCUCAGUAGCAGCAGGACCUUGGUGCCAUAUGCUUGUGACAAAACCAUUCGGUUUGAUUCCUUGAAAAUGUUUUCUACUUUCUUUGUUUUCUAAACAUCAGCUUAACACAUGCAGCAUCACCAAAUUAAUUCAAGCAAUUUAAUCAUCAAAUGUAUCUAAAAAUCUCAAAUCAUACAUCAACAAGACUUCUACCCAUCUUACCCAUUAAACAGAUGAGACAAAAGCUAAAUCGCAUGAAGAAAAUGCUAAAAAUUCAAGAAUUCUUCUCUGCAACUCACAGUAGCUGUGCUUGCACAGUAGAGUGAUGAUUUUGAGUUAGAUUUUGAGAUUAAAAGUUGUUUUACUUUUGGAAAAUAAAAUCUUAACACUCUUAACACAUUAUCUUAGUGAUUGAUUACAAAUCUUUGAGAGGAAACACAAGAAUUGGAUGAAGAACAAAUGCUUACCUGAACAGAGGCAUCGUUGAGGUGCAGCAACAACGGUUUUGGAUUCUGGAGCUUGCUGCUAAAAUUUGAGAGCUCGAUUUUUGUGUAGAAGUGACCAUAAGACAUUAAAGAAACAAACAAAAUAAUUCAAAAGAAGAAGAAACAACUUACCUCCGUGAGAAGAACUUUCCCCACUCUGUUACGCACACAGGACGUAUACUCUGUUCUGGUGCGUCACUCUCUCUUUCUCUCUCUACUGUUUUUUGCUCUCAACCUCCCCUCUCACUCACUUAUUAAACUGGAAUUUUGGGUUUGGAGAAGAUGAAGAUGAAGAUGUGAAGAGAAGGAAGCUUUUAUUGACACUUGGUCGGUCCUGACAACAGCCCACCAUCUGGCUCAUUACGACCACAAUUAUGGUGUUAAUGGGUGUUUGGUUUAUAUUU
rnacentral:lncRNA from 1 species